GCUCUUUAAAAUUUAUUAAAAUAUUUUAAAAAUAAGAUUAUUUGUCAUGUAAAUAAAGGAAAACUAUAAAAAUACCAAAAUUAAUAACAUAUUUUGAUAAAAUCGCGAGGUGGCUUUCUCCCCCCACCAGGUGGUACAAAAAAGCCAUUUGCAGAGGUUUCGUAAAACUCUUAUAACUUAGUCCUUUCAUGGGAUA